rnacentral:rRNA from 1 species
UACAGAGGUCUCAAGCGUUGUUCGGAUUCAUUGGGCGUAAAGGGCGCGUAGGCGGCGGGGUAAGUCGGGUGUGAAAUCUCAGAGCUCAACUCUGAAACUGCACUCGAUACUGCUCUGCUUGAGGACUGGAGAGGAGACUGGAAUUCACGGUGUAGCAGUGGAAUGCGUAGAUAUCGUGAGGAAGACCAGUGGCGAAGGCGGGUCUCUGGACAGUUCCUGACGCUGAGGCGCGAAGGCCAGGGGAGCAAACGGG